AAUUAAGGAGCUUGACUCAUCUGCAUUAAGUACAAGUAGGGACUCCCCUUUAAGCACCGACUCUUGGUGCUUUCUGCAGAUAAGUCAUAUUAAAUAUCCUUUAUUAAAUAAACUUUGUUAUUUGCAGUAUACCUCAUAGUCAAAUGUGGGAGUGCUUAAUUGCUUUGUUUUUUUAUUGGGUUCUUUUUGUAUUUUUUUGUAUUUUUUAUAUAUUGACAUUUCUCCGCAC
rnacentral:lncRNA from 1 species